UGUUAUUAUCUAGCUCGCUACUAUGUUAUAUAUAACUAAUUGAACACUUUUUUAAUACUUUUUAUUCUGGAUUACAAAAAAUAUGAUCAGAAAAACCUUAAAUGAUCGUCGAUUUAUCCAAAAGUUUUAAAGUUACACAUAGGAAGUAGUGCUUAUUAAGAACCCUUGUGUAGUUCAUUAUGACUUGUACUUUCGGCCAAGAUGUCAAAGAACAAUUGUAUGAAAUAUUUAAUCGCCGAAAAUCUCUUAAGACAAGUAGUUUAGAUUUCCCAAAUGGCAAAAGUCGUAGGAAUAUUGUUUGUCAUCAAUACGUAGUACAACUACGUCAGUAGUCUAUUAUAUAAUAAGUUCAACUGUUCAUGCUGUUGGCGGCAAUUUCAAAUUAGAAAAAGAAAUGUUCGUAUCUUUUCAAUUUGGAGGCAGGUGUGCAAAUUAGCAGUGGUCCGAGAUCCGCGACCUUCCACUUUUGCAAGCGGAAUUUCGCCUAGGAUAGUUGGUUUCUAGCUACGCCCGACGUAGUCACCUUCCACUUGAAAGAAAAUAAGAGUUAACUUGGCAAACCAUUACCUUUUCACCAUGUUCACCAAAGUCUCCAAUUAAACGAGCUAAAAACUUAUUUUUAUCAUUAUUAUUCAUGACAGCGAUGUUCGUUUUGUUCAAUCGCUAGCUUUAUACAGAAAAUAGCCGACAAAUAUUGUAUAAAUUCGAGUAAAAUCGUAUCUGAUUGACAAAAACAACAUUGUAAAAACAUAACAAUGGCGGC
rnacentral:lncRNA from 1 species